UAUUUUUUAAGAAAUGCAUUCUCAAAAACAUAAUGCUGAAAUAACACCGUCUGGGUUUGCUUUCAAAUAUUUGAGCAAGAAAAACGGGGCUGGGGCGGACAGACGAAACUAGUGCGGCGGAAUCUUACUUAUUAUUAAGUUUGAGCGAUGAGUAUAUGCGGGCUCAUCAGUCUUCGCUCAACUUUUGUGUAGGCUUAAAUUUUCGUAAGGGUUUUUCUAAAUUUUCGAAAAAGAGCAUUCCGUCACUCAUCUUGUGUUUUUGGCUAAUAUUUAAAAGUGACUUUUUCAUAUAUUUACGUCACAAAACUCCCGCGCACUCCGGCGAGGAACCCAAAGCCGGACCAUAACGGGUCGCUGUGCUGUGACGCACUGAACGCUGCGACCCCCGCGCCCCUCGCGCCCUCAGGAACUCGCGCGAACUCCCGGGCCGGGCGCGCGAGAGGGCCCGCGGGAAUUUCCGGGGAAGUCCCGACCAGAGAGUGGCCGCGUUUCCUAGAAAGUUACCGGAAGUGGGGUGGUGGAGGACUAGGAAGUGGAGCUGGCACAGUUUUCCCUGGUUUCUGGUUUCUGGUUUCUGUUUUCCGGGGGGGGGGGGGNNGGGGCCGGCGAGGCGGGAGCUCAGCCACCGGGUACCCAGGGUCGCCAGCGGGAGGGGCGGGCUUUGGAGCCGGGUCCGCGGGGAGGGGUCCGCGGCGGGCUCGCCCCCCAGAGGGGGCUCCCCGCAGGUGUUCUGGGUCCCUCCCGCUCCCCCUCUCCCUUUUUGUCCCCCCGAUUCCUGUCCCCCGCAGCGUCCGCGCAUGCAUUCGUUCGCUGAGCCGCUGGGGCAGGCGUUGUUGGAGGCGCUGAAGUCCAGCCGCGAUCAUGGUGGCCAGGAAUGCCCGCCCUCGGGAGCCUGGGAGCCCCCGGUUUCGUGGGGGGACACAGACCACGCACCGCCGACGCCGUAUUUGAGUAACUUACCGUGUUGGAAAGUGGUCGAGUGCUAGUGAAAAGAAUAGAGCAAAGGUAAAAGCCAGGUAACACAUCGGGAUCGGAAGGAGAGAGUAAGUGGCAAUCUUAGGGGGGCCGCGAGAGUCUGGGGAAGAUGACAUACAAGCCAACGCUUGGAAGCGAGGUCAUCUGCCCUGAGGAUUGCUUGAGGUGGAGGGGCGGCCGGUGCAAAGGCCCUGAGGCAGAAAAGAGAGGUCCGUGUGAGUGAGGACGGCUGAACGAGGAGGAGAAGCGUGGGAGCGGUACUCGGCACGCCUGUAGGCAUGCACGCCCGGGCAAGACCCGCUUUCAUUCUGAGUAAGCGAAUGGGAAUGGGCGCUCCGCUGUGUGCAGUAAGCCGGAGGAGACUGGCAGGUUUUACGCGGAGAUGAAAUAAUCCAGUUUAUGGCUUAAGCACAGUACUCUGACUGUCGUAUUGAGAAGAGGCAGAAGGGAAGGACAGACGCGGGGAGACCAGUGAGUAACAGUGGGGAGCAAGGCAGAGGAUGGCGGCUUGGACCAGGAUGGGAGCUGCGGAGGUCCUAGUCCUGACACGUAGUGGUUUCAGUUUGUCUCCCUGGGCCACUCUUCUCCCAGAGAUCAUGCCCAGCAGUUACUUCUGUUUGCUGUGUUCACUGUCCUCUUUUUCCCUUUUCAUGGACUAUUCAGGAAAACAAGAUGUGAGACCACAGCUAGCUGAAUGCUGCUGAUGAACCCCAAAUCCAGGGCCCUGUGUGACACUUGAGGCCAUGUAGAAGCUGCCCUGUGGGUCAGCAGGGGCCCUUUGGUUGGCAUCUCCCAGGCCACGUCCAAACUUGUUGUCUGGGCAAAGCCAGAACUAACUUUGGGAGUUUGACCCAAGCAGCAGGGAAGAACCUGGACUGCAGUGGAAGACUGUAGAGAAAGCUGGGUGAAAAGAUGCAGCAGGUAAGGAAAGGAGGGUCUGCAGCGUUUCCUGAGGAGGAGGAAGGAGAAGUGAGUACAGAAAAGGAAAGCAGUGGAGGCCGUGGUGGAAGUUUCCUGCUUCAAAAUUCAAAAUAGUUUUCCUGGACGGCCUGGUGACCAUGAAAGCUUUCCGGUGAUAGAGAGGAAUUGAAAGACUUUUCUGUUUUUCAUAAGGUGUAUCAGGGACUGAGUCCCUGAAUUUCUCUCCCCUCUGGGUGUGUCUGGGAGUUGAUUUCCAGGGACUAAACUUUAUAGUUGCUUAGAGCUUGUUUUCCUCCCGUCGGUAGCGCCCCUGAGG
rnacentral:lncRNA from 1 species